UACGUAGGGUGCAAGCGUUGUCCGGAUUUAUUGGGCGUAAAGAGCUCGUAGGCGGCUUGUCGCGUCGAUCGUGAAAACUUGGGGCUCAACCCCAAGCCUGCGGUCGAUACGGGCAGGCUCGAGUUCGGUAGGGGAGACUGGAAUUCCUGGUGUAGCGGUGAAAUGCGCAGAUAUCAGGAGGAACACCGGUGGCGAAGGCGGGUCUCUGGGCCGAUACUGACGCUGAGGAGCGAAAGCGUGGGGAGCGAACAGG
rnacentral:rRNA from 1 species